rnacentral:rRNA from 1 species
GAUGAACGCUAGCGGCAGGCCUAAUACAUGCAAGUCGAGGGGUAGAGGAAGCUUGCUUUCUUGAGACCGGCGCACGGGUGCGUAACGCGUAUGCAACCUACCUUUAUCAGGGGGAUAACCCGGAGAAAUCCGGAUUAACACCGCAUAAAAUCACAGAACAGCAUUGUUUCAUGAUCAAAUAUUUAUAGGAUAAAGAUGGGCAUGCGUGCCAUUAGCUAGUUGGCGGGGUAGCGGCCCACCAAGGCGACGAUGGCUAGGGGCUCUGAGAGGAGAAUCCCCCACACUGGUACUGAGACACGGACCAGACUCCUACGGGAGGCAGCAGUAAGGAAUAUUGGUCAAUGGGGGCAACCCUGAACCAGCCAUGCCGCGUGCAGGAAGACUGCCCUAUGGGUUGUAAACUGCUUUUGUACGGGAAUAACCACUGGUAUGUAUACCAGCCUGAAUGUACCGUAAGAAUAAGGAUCGGCUAACUCCGUGCCAGCCGCCGCAGUAAUAC